rnacentral:lncRNA from 1 species
UGAAAAUAAACGUUUCGCUAAGGAGGAGCUAUGUGAGUGAUGGUUCACAUCACUCGGAUAAAACACUGACUGAGAGACUUCCUGUGUUGAAACUUUACAUCUUAAACACCACUGUGCUAAGGCCACCUGGGAGCGCUGGGGAUAUUGGUGUUUUCCUUUUAGGCCAGGAGGAGGACAUUGAUAUAAACAGGUGGGUGAAAGUUUGAGUGAACACAAGGGUCCCUCUGUCUUAUACCAUCUUGGGACAUAUGCGAGCCUGAAUGCCCAACACUGUGAACCUAUGGGCCAGGUACCAAGGGCCCUAUUCAACCGGUAUCUAGAAGGUUCCAGGGUAAGGCAAAAAGGUGCUUUCUUACAGCGCAAGAAGAAUACAGGUUUGUCUCAGCUGCGGGGUCCUCUGUAUAUAGGUUUUGGUUGAAUAGAGCCCCUUGUUUCAAUCCCACUGUUCUGUCUCCCCUGGUCAACCAGAUUGUUUUUCAGCCCAGGUAAUCAUGCCUGUGCUGCCCCCGCUGUUUGUAAUGCUUUAAUUUUUAGUCAUUUUAAAUUAUUUGUUAAAUUAAUCGAAAUGUGCUGGUAAUCACAGAUAUGUAUGGCAAAACAUUUUUGUUCCUCUCUCAAAUAAAUGCAUGUACUGACUAAUGAAGUGACGAAGUGUUUCACUGAAAAUACUCUCUUUGGGAACUGCAUUGAUUUAUUGGAUGUUCUGCAUGGAAAUUAUUUGGAAUUUUCGGAAAAUAUUUCAUUUGACAGACCACCAUAUUUAGGACCAAGUACUGUAGGUCUGAAAGUCUAUUUUGCACUGCUAUUCCGCUGGUUAGUACCAUCCCAUCAACAAGCAAAUGAAAUGCUGCUAGUGUUUCCAUAAUGUUUCUCUGUUUUUUUUGUAUGUUUAAGCGAAUUAGCCAAUGGCCAUAUUCCAUUUAUUCAGAUGUAGAGAAGAGGAAUUUAUUGGUCAAGGUGACAUGGACCUAAAAUGGCUUUUUAUACGAGGAAGGAAAUGGUAUGGCUUUAACUGACAAUGUCACAGCACAUCAGUUUUAGAGACUCAAGUUAAAAAAGGUCUUUGUAGGAGGCCUUUGUUAGUGUUUCAUAAGCCUGCUCCAAGAGUGUUCUAACCCACAUUUUAACAAAUUCUGGAGCUUUGAGACAUUAGAACCAGACUAGAGAGAGAAGGAAGGAAGGCAGGGAUGGAUGGAUGGAGUGAGAGACUGCCUAUGCAAAAUGACUAUCACCUUUUGUUGGUAUCAGGUUGGUAUGAUGAUCUCUGGUGCAUCAGAGAUAUGGAAUAAGAAUACUGUGUAUCUCUAUGGGUGUUGUCCUGUCGUCUUUCGUUCUGAUGGGAUGUGACCUGGUCUGAGUUGUAUUAGGCAAGGUGAUACUGCUUUGUGUUGAAGGAAUUAAGAGGCUUAAUGUAAGAGGGUUAUAUGUUACCUGUCAGAGAUCUAAAAGACAAAAGUAGUAAUCCACUUCACACAGAACCACGGACACAAUGUGGAACUACAAUAACAAUAGUGGAAAUCGGAUUCGCAUACCAGGUCCAAGGCCCAGUACAAGAGCUGACCGAUAGCUUGGCCAGACUAGUGACCCCUCUUUCAAGAGAGGUAUUGAGAGAACAGGAUCUGUUUUGGAUGCUUGCCAUUGUUUUUCUCAUUUCUAUGGAUUUCUAUCACAUUUUGUCUCUAGUUUUUGUUUUGCCAAUAGGACAUGUGUACUGAUAUAGAGAUGGUUCUAAAAAAAAAAAAAAACAUUGAGACCACUCGGAUCAACGAUUGCGUACUACUACGACAUGGCAUACUUGAAGUAUGAAGUGGCAUCUUGGCCAAGCAUUCAGUACUAUUCUGGUAUGGAUGUUAUUCUCUACUAUGUCAAGACUCAAAAGGUCCGUCUUUGCAUCAGAUUUCAGGGGAUGGCAUGGCUCAAUCUGAACUUUCCAAAAAUGUGACCAAACUUUAAGAUGGGACGUUGAGGGGUGAGGCGAUUCACCGCCCCCCUCGGAGACAGGCUCAUGGGGCGAGGGGAUUGUGUGUGUG